GCCACAUCAUGAUUAACAUACAAAUAUCUCAACUAAUAACCUAUUUAUUCAUUGCAUUUCAUGCAGCCUCUGUUCCAACUAUAUAUAUAUUGAUUCACACCCAAAGCAUUAAAACCUCAUCUAAAUACUCGCAUUGCAACAUCAAGAUCAAAUGUAUACAUAGUACAAAACAUUAUCAACUAUCAUAUAUGCCUAUUUAUAUAACAUAAAAUCCUAUAGGUACAUGCCGACCAAAGUAGCAAUAGGUACAUGCCGACCAAAGUAGCAAUAGUUUCACCAACUCGAUGAGUGCCGGAUUAUCUGCUGGAUGCUAAUAACAAUGAGUGCACACGAUUGAACCUAACCUACGCAUGGAAAACAAACCGGACGCUGAGUAAUCAACUCAGUGGCAUUUCUAUAACUAAUAUUAUAACAUAACAAAAAUUAUGUAAGGACAUAAACAAAAUAAGAUAAUUAUGUAAGAACAUAAACAAAAUAAGAUAAUCAAAGGUCCAUAAGGAGUUUAAUAUGUUAAAUUAUGUUAUAAGAACAUAAUCAUUUCAUAUUGCAUUUGUAGUCAUAUCGGCUGGUUGCCACAUAUUCAUCUUCAAAUUCCUGACCUGUAACUCCAAAAUUCAAUUAAACAUUGAACAAUCUCUUACAUGCAAAUAAAUCACGCUUUGCAAACAAAACCGGGUCUAAAAUUAGCUUACAAAAGCUCCGAGAACAAACAAGGAUUAAAUUGUAACAUUUUUAAAAUAAUAAGUGAAUGUGAGAAACAUGGGUCACACGGUUGUGUGGGUUAAAAGUCCAACUUACCAUAGGUCACAUGGCCUUGUAGUGCUAGCUCAUGUAGUGUAUGAUUGAGCUAAUCAGUAUCAAAUUUCAUGCCUUAAUUGGCACCCAGAUACACCAUUCAAAUCUAGUAGCACAAGCAAUUCUAUCAAGCACUACCAAGUUUCUCAAUCAACUAUCAUCCUUAUAACAAUUCCUACCAUUCUAUUCAAUUUAUGGCCAUUUCAUUUCUAGCAACUCAAAUCACAUUCUCAACCUCACAAACAUACCAACUGCAUACUCAACUCAUAACAAUAAACCAGAUUUGAAUGACAUAAAAAUACAAAUUCUAACCGUUAAGACAGCAAUUCAGACAACAACCAAGCAUAUAAUUCGAUUAACUAUUUAAUGCAUUAAUUUGGUAGUUUCCUAGUUACGCACUUCUGAACAACAACUUAAUAUUUAUUCUUAGAAAUAGCAGAUUUAAUAUUUAUUUACAGACAAUAAUUAAACAUGCAAUUUUUGAACAACAUUUUAAUACAUUUAUUCAGACCAGCCCAUUUUGUACAAAAUGGACUGCCCUGUUUAUACAACAUUAUUAUGUAUAACAUCAAAUUGGACAGGUUAUUACAUCAAGUAUGCAAGCACUUAACCGGCAAGAAAUCAUAAUUAAUAUGUCUGUCUUUGAACAACUUAAAUGCAUUGAUAAUGCAAGAGAUUAAGGCACAUUAACAGCCUAAAUGUUAAACAUUAAUCCCGAGGAUGAAAUGUUGAAAAUCUAGCAUUCGAACAAAUUGAAAUCCAGCAUUCAACAGCAGCAACUUAUAGCAUUUAAAUCAUAAAUUUCCCUUUAAUUUAGACAGCAACAAAGAGUAACAAUACAUAGUAUUAAAAUCAAUAAACAACAGCUCAUUUAACCCUUACAAUGAGUAGCCAAAUUAAAAAAAAAAAAGACAACAUUUAACCGAAGUUCCCUUCAUUUAAAACAGCAGUUAAUGGCAUUUAAAUCAAAGGGAUUUGUAUGUUGAAUUUUCAGCAUUUGGGCUGCAUUAAACACUUCCAAUCAACAGUCAAAUUUAAUAAUCAACAAUCACACUUUCCUUCAUUUACAACAGCAGGUCAAAGCAUUUAAACAAAAGAAUAUGCAUGCUAAAUUUCCAGCAUUUGGACAACAUUUCAACAUGAAAAUUUCCAGCUUUUCACCUUCAAUAUUUCGAAUAUUCAAAAGCAAAAAGAAGGGUACAACUAAUCAAUUAAAAUUUUUGAACAUAAUUCAAGGUAUAUGUUCAACCGAACAUUCAUGUUAACUCAUAAUCAACAAGUUAUUAAGUAGAAAAUAAAAACAUUAUUAGCAUGCAUGCUAUCUGCAUACAACUACCGUUCAACUUCCAUCUCCUACCAGCCUUACCAAUUUCACCAUUUGAAAGAACAGUAAGGAAAAGAAGAGAAAAGAACAAGGGCGUGACUGUGAGAAUCUCACCAGAAAAUCCAACAGAAACUACUCUGAAGCCGUGCCUUUCCCUUUCUUACUGCUGCUUCCAGCUUCUCCCUUAGCUGUACACAACCAUUUCCUUGUUAAAACAAAAGAAAACACAUUCCGCAGCCCUGUAUUUCUACUAGAACACUUCAUGAAUUUAUUAGUCUUGGACAUGCAAGAACUCAGCUGCAAGAGGGACCUUCGGUCAAGCUUAAAACCAACCUCUCCAAAGUCCCAUUCCCAGUUCCCACCAGUGGUCUAGAGGCAAAGACGAGUUGAGGAAUUUACCUAUUUUUCUUCCUAAAAUCAGCUCCUAAUGAGCCCAGUUUGACCAUGAAACAGUUUAACCACCCACUUCUCUUUCUUCAAACAGUUAGCAAAGAUGAGCAUAAGGAAAGAAAAUCAAAAUGUUUAAGUCUUUUUCUGUUUCUAUCUUUCGUCCAGCCACAACCAUUCACAACUUCAGUUUCCUCGCUCUUUUUUCUUUCUCACCGUCCCAUCCCUUUUUCCCAAGAAAAUCCAUUUUAAUUAAAAUUAUAUGACAAUAUCUAAAUGUUAGUGGGAACAAUCAUUGACCAAUUUCCCAUGUUUACAAUCGACCACCCAACCAAAAGUCGCACACACCCUAAACCCAUUAGUUAACAUUAUAAAAUAUUAAGCAUAAUGAUUAACACCACCAUCAUCUAACUAUCUAGUUUCAUUUGAAAGAAACAUUUGUAAAGCAUAACUAUGUAGAUAACUGGCGCUAACUAGCCCAACCACCAUACCAAAAUUCCCUCCUCAACCAAGGUUAUGAAUUGAAAUAAAAUGAAUGUCUUUGGAGUUAUUAAAUUUACAAAAGAAAAACAAUACUUUAACCCUCCAUCUUGUAUUGAAAUGAUACUUUUACCAUUUAAAUCCUUAAUUUAAUUAUCUUAAAUCACCUUAGGUAAUUACAAUUUCAAAAAAUUAAUUUUUGAAGAAACUUUAAUACAAUUUUAAUAAAUAAAAGAGAGUUGAGAGAAGAAUAAAAUUUAAGUGAGAAAUUCAAGAGAGAUUUGAGAGAAAUUUGAGAGAGAUUUAA
rnacentral:lncRNA from 1 species